rnacentral:rRNA from 1 species
UACGUAGGGAGCAAGCGUUGUCCGGAAUCAUUGGGCGUAAAGCGCGCGUAGGCGGCCCUGUAAGUCCGUUGUGAAAGUCGAAGGCUCAACCUUUGAAAGCCGAUGGAUACUGCAGGGCUAGAGUCCGGAAGAGGCGAGUGGAAUUCCCGGUGUAGCGGUGAAAUGCGCAGAUAUCGGGAGGAACACCCGUGGCGAAAGCGGCUCUCUGGACCACUACUGACGCUGAGACGCGAAAGCGUGGGGAGCGAACAGG